rnacentral:misc_RNA from 1 species
ACAUCCUGAGACCGGGGUAGAAGAAAAAGAGAAAGAGGAAAACUGGGGCCUACCGAGGCGUCUGCAGAUUGAUCUCGUUUACACUUUACUGACUGAACGAGAAAAGAGAAGGAGGAGCAGGAGGAAGGGUGCGUGGGUGGUAAUUUUUGGGUGCGUGAAUCUCAAGUGGAUCUUUUAUUGGAUUUCAAGCUUGGAAAAUGUUCAAGACGGACCGCAGUUGUUCUUGUGAAACUCGUCGAAGAACUUUUUAAACGACUAGACUAUGGUUCUAAGGAAACUGGCGCCUGUAUGGUCGUAAACAGUCUGCGAUUUUCCAUAUGGCCC